GACGAACGCUGGCGGUGUGCUUCACACAUGCAAGUCGAACGAGGUAGCAAUACCUAGUGGCGGACGGGUGAGUAACGCGUGGGAAUCUGCCCAAGGGUGGGGGAUAACUAGCCGAAAGGUUAGCUAAUACCGCAUAUGCCGAGAGGUAAAAGGAGUAAUCCGCCCCUGGAUGAGCCUGCGUCCGAUUAGCUAGUUGGUAGGGUAAAGGCCUACCAAGGCUACGAUCGGUAGCUGGUCUGAGAGGAUGAUCAGCCACAAUGGGACUGAGACACGGCCCAUACUCCUACGGGAGGCAGCAGUGGGGAAUUUUACACAAUGGGGGGAAACCCUGAUGUAGCGACACCGCGUGAACGAAGAAGCCCUUUGGGGUGUAAAGUUCUGUCGGCUGGAACGAAAAAAAUAGACGGUACCAAGCAAAGGAAGCAUCGGCU
rnacentral:rRNA from 1 species